rnacentral:rRNA from 1 species
AAUGCUAGCCUCCGAGAACAAUACCCAGCCUUAUACAACAUUGCACGCGAUAAGAAUAAUACUAUUGCGCAGGUGCUCAGCUCAUCCCCGCCAAAUAUUUAAUUCAGGCGGGAUCUGAUUGGCACCCGACUUAUGUCAUGGAAUAAUCUAUUGUCCCGUUUGGAUUCGAUUAUCCUAACACAAGGUCGUGAUGUGUUUCGCUGGAACCUUACUACAUCGGGGUCUUUCACAGUA